GUAAAGAGCUCGUAGGUGGCUUGUCGCGUCUGCCGUGAAAACCCGAGGCUCAACCUCGGGCGUGCGGUGGGUACGGGCAGGCUAGAGUGUGGUAGGGGAGACUGGAACUCCUGGUGUAGCGGUGAAAUGCGCAGAUAUCAGGAAGAACACCGAUGGCGAAGGCAGGUCUCUGGGCCAUUACUGACACUGAGGAGCGAAGCCAUGGGUAGCGAACAGGAUUAGAUACCCUGGUAGUCCAUGCCGUAAACGUUGGGCACUAGAUGUGGGGGACAUUCCACGUUUUCCGCGUCGUAGCUAACGCAUUAAGUGCCCCGCCUGGGGAGUACGGCCGCAAGGCUAAAACUCAAAGGAAUUGACGGGGGCCCGCACAGGCGGCGGAGCAUGCUGAUUAAUUCGAUGCAACGCGAAGAACCUUACCAAGGCUUGACAUGCACCGGGCGACUGCAGAGAUGUGGUUUUCUUCGGACUGGUGCACAGGUGGUGCAUGGUUGUCGUCAGCUCGUGUCGUGAGAUGUUGGGUUAAGUCCCGCAACGAGCGCAACCCUCGUUCUAUGUUGCCAGCACGUCAUGGUGGGGACUCAUAGGAGACUGCCGGGGUCAACUCGGAGGAAGGUGGGGACGACGUCAAAUCAUCAUGCCCCUUAUGUCUUGGGCUUCAAGCAUGCUACAAUGGUCGGUACAAUGGGUUACGAAACUGUGAGGUGGAGCGAAUCCCAAAAAGCCGGCCUCAGUUCGGAUUGGGGUCUGCAACUCGACCCCAUGAAGUCGGAGUCGCUAGUAAUCGCAG
rnacentral:rRNA from 1 species